rnacentral:rRNA from 1 species
AGAGUUUGAUCAUGGCUCAGGAUGAACGCUAGCGGCAGGCUUAAUACAUGCAAGUCGUGGGGCAGCAUGGGGUAGCAAUACCCUGAUGGCGACCGGCAAACGGGUGCGGAACACGUACGCAACCUUCCUUUAACUGGAGAAUAGCCCCUCGAAAGAGGGAUUAAUACUCCGUAACAUGAUGAUAAGGCAUCUUAUUAUUAUUAUAGCUCCGGCGGUUAGAGAUGGGCGUGCGCCUGAUUAGGUAGUUGGCGGGGUAACGGCCCACCAAGCCUGCGAUCAGUAACUGGUGUGAGAGCACGACCAGUCACACGGGCACUGAGACACGGGCCCGACUCCUACGGGAGGCAGCAGUAAGGAAUAUUGGUCAAUGGACGCAAGUCUGAACCAGCCAUGCCGCGUGGAGGAUUAAGGCCCUCUGGGUUGUAAACUCCUUUUAUCUGGGAAGAAAUCCAUAUAUUCUUAUAUGGUUGACGGUACCAGAGGAAUAAGCACCGGCUAACUCCGUGCCAGCAGCGGCGGUAAUAC